rfam:Oryza nivara chromosome 2, whole genome shotgun sequence.
AAUAAAUGACGCCGUUGAAUUUUUCUCACAUGUUUGACUAUUCGUCUUAUUGAAAAAAUUUACGUAAUUAUAAUUUAUUUUGUUAUGAGUUGUUUUAUUACUCAUAGUACUUUAAGUGUGAUUUAUAUCUUAUGCAUUUGCAUAAAAUUUUUGAAUAUAAGACGAAUGGUUAAACAUGUGAGAAAAAAUCAAUAGCGUUAUCUAUU